AACAUGGUACAUCACUACCUGUAUUGGUAUUCCAUUUUGACAAUGCUGCUAGCUAGAAUAGAAAUAACAUCUUGCUGUGGUAUGGUCUGUGGAGAGUUUUACUAGGAUAUCACAGAUGGAUUGAAUAUUCAACAAUGAUCACAGACCAUGCAAAGUUUGAAUCUGACUUGCACUUUUGAAUUUAGAAGAAUCUGUGGAGGAGGGUGAAUGCUGAGACCUUUAAUAAUACAUGAUAUUGCUGACACAGUGUGUCAGUCAUCAAAGAAAUAUCAUAACAACACAGUUGGUCAACAAAGAUUUAAAUCCUGUCACAUUCUACCAGUGGAGAAAUAUCUUAUCACAAUAUUUAAACUUUUGAAGAAGAUAACCAAAUAUUACCACUUGAUCUUGUCUGCAGAAACACCUGGAUUGUUAGUCUUAAAAGUGACAGUACAGUUAACUUACUAAAAUCUACUUCCUCUUGCCAAACGAAUAUUAUUGACAUGGAAUGACACAAGCCUGACAAUGGUACCUGUAUGAACUCAUAAGAGAAUAGUAUUUGUCUGAAAAGUCAAAGGAUUCGUUUUGUCCCAAACCACUUGAACUGAAAUUGGAUUGACGAGGAUUUUUCUGAGAACUGAAAAAGAAAGUGAAUAUAAAAGAUAGAAAUUGUUGAUGAAUUCACAACGUUUUAAUAUACAACACUUUAGCCUGUUUUGCUGUUCAUAUAGAUGUGUUUAGCUGUUAAGGUUAAACAUCAAGUAAAGGUUGUAGUUUCAGUUACCUACAUUAAAGUAUUGGCUGGAAAUAAAUAUUUACUUUUCA